rnacentral:piRNA from 1 species
UCCAUUCACAAGAGCAAGGCCUUUUUGGUGU